GUCCGCAACGAGCGCAACCCCUAUCUUUAGUUACCAGCAAUUCGGUUGGGGACUCUAGAGAUACUGCCCCGGUUAACGGGGAGGAAGGUGGGGAUGACGUCAAGUCCUCAUGGCCUUUAUGUCCAGGGCUACACACGCGCUACAAUGGGCUGUACAGAGGGUCGCGACCCCGCGAGGGUGAGCCAAUCCCAAAAAGCAGUUCUUAGUUCGAAUUGGAGUCUGCAACUCGACUCCAUGAAGCUGGAAUCGCUAGUAAUCGCGGAUCAGCAUGCCGCGGUGAAUACGUUCCCGGGCCUUGUACACACCGCCCGUCACACCAU
rnacentral:rRNA from 1 species